rnacentral:tRNA from 3 species
GCCCAAGUGGUGAAAUGGUAUACACGAAGGACUUAAAAUCCUUUGACCGCGAGGUCGUGAGAGUUCGAGUCUCUCCUUGGGCA